GACGAACGCUGGCGGCGUGCUUAACACAUGCGAGUCGAACGGAAAGGCCUUUUCGGAGGUACUCGAGUGGCGCACGGGGGAGUAACACGUGGGUGAUCUGCCCUGCACUCUGGGAUAAGCCUGGGAAACUGGGUCUAAUACCGGAUAGGACCGCACUUUAGUGUGUGUGGUGGAAAGUUUUUUCGGUGUAGGAUGAGCCCGCGGCCUAUCAGCUUGUUGGUGGGGUAAUGGCCUACCAAGGCGGCGACGGGUAGCCGGACUGAGAGGUUGGUCGGCCACAUUGGGACUGAGAUACGGCCCAGGCUCCUACGGGAGGCAGCAGUGGGGAAUAUUGCACAAUGGGCGCCAGCCUGAUGCAGCGACGCCGCGUGGGGGAUGACGGCCUUCGGGUUGUAAACUCCUUUCGCCAGGGACGAAGCGUUUUGUGACGGUACCUGGAGAAGAAGCACCGGCUAACUACGUG
rnacentral:rRNA from 1 species